rnacentral:piRNA from 1 species
UUCAUCCACCUCCUGCAGUUGGUCC